AUUGAACGCUGGCGGCAUGCCUUACACAUGCAAGUCGAACGGCAGCACGGGAGCAAUCCUGGUGGCGAGUGGCGAACGGGUGAGUAAUAUAUCGGAACGUGCCCAGUAGUGGGGAUAGCCCGGCGAAAGCCGGAUUAAUACCGCAUACGACCUGAGGGUGAAAGCGGGGGAUCGCAAGACCUCGCGCUAUUGGAGCGGCCGAUAUCAGAUUAGCUAGUUGGUGGGGUAAAGGCCUACCAAGGCUACGAUCUGUAGUUGGUCUGAGAGGACGACCAGCCACACUGGGACUGAGACACGGCCCAGACUCCUACGGGAGGCAGCAGUGGGGAAUUUUGGACAAUGGGCGCAAGCCUGAUCCAGCAAUGCCGCGUGCAGGAAGAAGGCCUUCGGGUUGUAAACUGCUUUUGUCAGGGAAGAAAUCUUCUGGGCUAAUACCCCGGGAGGAUGACGGUACCUGAAGAAUAAGCACCGGCUAACUACGUG
rnacentral:rRNA from 1 species